CAGUCGCCGCGGGAAUACGAAGGGGGCUAGCGUUGCUCGGAAUGACUGGGCGUAAAGGGCGCGUAGGCGGCGAUCAAAGUCAGGCGUGAAAUUCCUGGGCUCAACCUGGGGGCUGCGCUUGAUACUUGGUUGCUUGAGUGGGGAAGAGGGUCGUGGAAUUCCCAGUGUAGAGGUGAAAUUCGUAGAUAUUGGGAAGAACACCGGUGGCGAAGGCGGCGACCUGGUCCUUGACUGACGCUGAGGCGCGAAAGCGUGGGGAGCAAACAGGAUUAGAGACCCCGGUAGUCCCUGUCUCUUAUAC
rnacentral:rRNA from 1 species